rnacentral:rRNA from 1 species
GAUGAACGCUGGCGGUGUGCCUAAUACAUGCAAGUCGUACGCAUUCUCGUUUCUGAUUGACGGUGCUUGCACCUAAUUGACGAGACAUUGGAAUGAGUGGCGGACGGGUGAGUAACACGUGGGUAACCUGCCCAGAAGCGGGGGAUAACAUUGGAAACAGAUGCUAAUACCGCAUAAAAGUCAAAACCACAUGGUUUUGAUUUAAAAGAUGGCCUUUGUGCCAUCACUUCUGGAUGGACCCGCGGCGUAUUAGCUAGUUGGUAAGGUAAUGGCUUACCAAGGCAAUGAUACGUAGCCGAACUGAGAGGUUGAUCGGCCACAAUGGGACUGAGACACGGCCCAUACUCCUACGGGAGGCAGCAGUAGGGAAUCUUCCAUAAUGGGCGCAAGCCUGAUGGAGCAACACCGCGUGAGUGAAGAAGGGUUUCGGCUCGUAAAACUCUGUUGUUAAAGAAGAACGUAUCUAAGAGUAACUGCUUAGGUAGUGACGGUAUUUAACCAGAAAGCCACGGCUAACUACGUGCCAGCAGCCGCCGUAA